GCGUAAUUGUUGCUUAAAUGGGGGAUUUCUGAUGAGAAACCGUGUGAUUUUCGCUUAAAUGGGGGAUUUCUGAAGAGAAAAUGCAUGAUUUUUGCUUAAAUGGGGUAUUCUCAAAGAAUAAACGUGUGAUUUUCACUUAAAUGGGGUAUUCUCGAAGAAAAAACGCGUGAUAUUCGCUUAAAUGGGUGAUUACCGAGGAGAAAAUUCAUGAUUUUCACUUAAAUGGGGGAUUUCCGAAGAGAAAACGCAUGAUAUUUGCUUAAAUGUUGGAUUCUCGGAGAUAAAUCGCGUGAUAUUCGAUUAAAAGGGAGAUUUCCGAAAAGAAAACACGUGAUUUUUGCUUAAAUGUGGGAUUCUCGGAGAUAAAACAGUUGAUAUUCGAUUAAACGGGGGAUUUCCGAAAAGAAAACAUGUGAUUUUCGCUUAAAUGGGGGAUUACCGAGGAGAAAAUUCAUGAUUUUCGCCUAAGUGGGGGAUUUCCGAAGAGAAAAUGCGUGAUAUUCGCUUAAAUGGGGGAUUUCCGAAGAGAAAAUUUAUCAUUUUCACCUAAGUGGGGGAUUUCCGAAGAGAAAAUGCAUGAUAUUCGCUUAAACGGGUGAUUACCGAGGAGAA
ensembl:lncRNA